AGAGUUUGAUCCUGGCUCAGGAUGAACGCUGGCGGCGUGCCUAGUACAUGCAAGUCGAACGCUUUGUGGUUCAACUGAUUUGAAGAGCUUGCUCAGAUAUGACGAUGGACAUUGCAAAGAGUGGCGAACGGGUGAGUAACACGUGGGAAACCUACCUCUUAGCAGGGGAUAACAUUUGGAAACAGAUGCUAAUACCGUAUAACAAUGACAACCGCAUGGUUGUUAUUUAAAAGAUGGUUCUGCUAUCACUAAGAGAUGGUCCCGCGGUGCAUUAGCUAGUUGGUAAGGUAAUGGCUUACCAAGGCGAUGAUGCAUAGCCGAGUUGAGAGACUAAUCGGCCACAAUGGGACUGAGACACGGCCCAUACUCCUACGGGAGGCAGCAGUAGGGAAUCUUCCACAAUGGGCGAAAGCCUGAUGGAGCAACGCCGCGUGUGUGAUGAAGGGUUUCGGCUCGUAAAACACUGUUAUAAGAGAAGAAUGACAUUGAGAGUAACUGUUCAAUGUGUGACGGUAUCUUACCAGAAAGGAACGGCUAAAUACGUGCCAGCAGCCGCGGUAAUA
rnacentral:rRNA from 1 species